UAGCCUGCCCAGUGACAAGAUUCAACGGCCGCGGUACCCUAACCGUGCGAAGGUAGCAUAAUCACUUGUUCUUUAAAUGAGGACUAGUAUCAACGGCAUCACGAGGAUCUUACUGUCUCCCCCCUCUAAUCAGUGAAACUGAUCUCCCCGUGAAGAAGCGGGGAUAAAUUUAUAAGACGAGAAGACCCCAUGGAGCUUUAAGCCUACAGCACCUGUUAAUUUUAUGCCAUCAUAUUCUUCUAGUAAUGCUUGUUCCGCUUUGGGUUGGGGUGACCAUGGAGCAAAAAAUAGCCUCCACGAAGAAAGGGAUAAAACCCUUAUCAAAGAGUUACAUCUCUAUGAAUUAGAACACUAACUUUUAAUGAUCCGAUAAUCGAUCAACGAACCAAGUUACCCUGGGGAUAACAGCGCAAUCCAUCUCAAGAGCUCCUAUCGACAGGUGGGUUUACGACCUCGAUGUUGGAUCAGGGUUUCCCAGUGGUGCAACAGCUACUAAAGGUUCGUUUCGUUUCAACG
rnacentral:rRNA from 1 species